rnacentral:misc_RNA from 1 species
AGCCACAGGAAGGGAUGGAUAUAGAGACGGAGACAGAGACAAACAAGGAAGGGAAAUUAUUUGAGGAUGAGAUAUCGGAUCUGUACUACCUGCCUCAGAUUUUCAAAUUGAAUUACGAGGCAAUGGAGAGGGACUUCAAAGUUUUUAUAUAUCCCGAUGGGGAUCCCAACACCUUUUAUCAAACACCUAGGAAAUUGACUGGCAAGUAUGCUAGCGAGGGAUAUUUUUUCCAGAAUAUCAGAGAGAGUCGCUUCCGGACUGAGGAUCCUAAUCAAGCUCACCUCUUCUUUAUCCCCAUCUCCUGCCACAAGAUGCGAGGCAAGGGAACCUCCUAUGAGAAUAUGACCAUUAUUGUUCAGAAUUAUGUGGAGAGCUUAAUAGCCAAGUAUCCCUAUUGGAACAGAACAUUGGGUGCAGAUCACUUCUUUGUUACUUGUCAUGAUGUUGGUGUCAGGGCAACUGAAGGAGUUCCAUUUCUUGUAAAGAAUGCAAUACGAGUUGUGUGCUCCCCAAGUUAUGAUGUUGGAUUCAUUCCUCACAAAGAUGUUGCUCUUCCUCAAGUACUGCAGCCAUUUGCCCUUCCAGCUGGAGGAAACGAUGUAGUAAACAGGACAACACUUGGUUUUUGGGCAGGUCAUAGAAACUCCAAAAUAAGAGUUAUUUUGGCACGCGUGUGGGAAAAUGAUACAGAG